rnacentral:tRNA from 4 species
GGAUGCUUAGCUCAGCGGGAGAGCACCUCGUUCACACCGAGGGGGUCACAGGUUCAAUCCCUGUCGCAUCCACCA